CACGAGGGUCUCACUGUCUUAAGGAAAUUUCCAGUGAAAUUGAAUUUGUAGUGAAGAUGCUACAUCCAAAUUGUUAGACAAGAAGUCCCCAUGGAACUUUACUGGAAGCUUAUGUGGCUUAAAUUAAUUUAUUUCUUACAAAUAAAUAGUUUUUAAAUGUGGUGUUAACCUCUCGGAUUAACGAGGGUUAGAAAAGCUCACUCUUUUAUUUUAAGAAAGCCAACUCAAAAUUUUAUGUCUUUGGGAUUUGAUAAGUGGGACAGUUUGGUUGGGGCGACCGCCUUUAAAAAAGUAACGAAGGCGGGCUUAAGAUAUAUUUUUAGUUAUGUCUGACUGCCAAGGGGGAAUCCUGAGCAGGCACUUACUUUUUAGGUGGGUUUAAGUGACCCGUUAAUUUAGGGUGAAAUAGUUAACGAUAAGCA
rnacentral:rRNA from 1 species